GGGGGCGAAACGGGUUCGACGGAGGUAAGGAAGCUCAAGUUGCAUGCCGAGGUCCUGGUUCCUCGUUAAACCAUCGGGACAAAAAACAAACGCAGACGAUUAUUCGUAUGCUGUAGCCGCGUAAGCGGCUACCGUUUCUCUGGUUUUUUCUUGCGGAACCAGCAGGAGCGUCGACUCAGCGAGAUGGUCUUUGGCAUGACGCCUGCAGUGCCAAAGGCGAGAUCCUGUAGGCUAGCCUAAUGGAAAUCCUGCUCGUGGGAGUUCUCCAAGGCGAAACUCAAAACGCGAGAUAAGCAUGUAGUAACUUCAGUGGAUUACUUUCGGACGCGGGUUCAACUCCCGCCGCCUCCACCA
rnacentral:tmRNA from 1 species